rnacentral:rRNA from 1 species
UACGUAGGGGCCUAGCGUUGUCCGGAUUUAUUGGGCGUAAAGAGCUCGUAGGCGGCUUGUUGCGUCGACUGUGAAAACCCGCGGCUUAACCGCGGGCUUGCAGUUGAUACGGGCAGGCUAGAGUUCGGUAGGGGAGACUGGAAUUCCUGGUGUAGCGGUGAAAUGCGCAGAUAUCAGGAGGAACACCGGUGGCGAAGGCGGGUCUCUGGGCCGAUACUGACGCUGAGGAGCGAAAGCGUGGGGAGCGAACAGG